rnacentral:rRNA from 1 species
CCCUUAGAUGUUCUGGGCUGCACGCGCGCUACAAUGGCGUUUUCAAAAAGAUUGCUAAUCCGAAAGGACCAGCGGAUCUUCGAAGUGGCGUCGUGAUCGGGACAGUUGAUUGCAAUUAUUCGACUCGAACGAGGAAUUCCUUGUAACCGUGCGUCAUCAGCGCACGCUGAAUACGUCCCUGUUCUUUGUACACACCGCCCGUCGCUCCUACCGAUCGAGCGAUCCAAUGAAUGUUUCGGAGCGGAACUGAGAUGCUAAUGCGUCUCUUUUACGCGAAUUUGUGUGAAUUUGAUCGCUUAGAGGAAGGAGAAGUCGUAACA